rnacentral:rRNA from 1 species
GACGAACGCUGGCGGCGUGCUUAACACAUGCAAGUCGAACGGAAAGGCCCUGCUUUUGUGGGGUGCUCGAGUGGCGAACGGGUGAGUAACACGUGAGUAACCUGCCCUUGACUUUGGGAUAACUUCAGGAAACUGGGGCUAAUACCGGAUAGGAGCUCCUGCUGCCUGGUGGGGGUUGGAAAGUUUAGGCGGUUGGGGAUGGAUUCGCGGCUUAUCAGCUUGUUGGUGGGGUAGUGGCUUACCAACGCUUUGACGGGUAGCCGGCAUGGGAGGUGGACCGGGGCACAUGGGACUAGGGGAAGGCCCAGUCGGGUAAGGGGCGCAAUGGGCGGGAACAUGGCGGAGCGGCGCGGAGCCAGUGAUAACAACCCUCGGAUCGUAAAGCUCUGUUUUGGGGGAUAAACCGCUUUGUAAGUAACUGAGCACGUCUUGACGGUAACUGGUAAGGAAGCCACGGCUAACUACGUG